rnacentral:rRNA from 1 species
ACCAGACUCCUACGGGAGGCAGCAGUGGGGAAUAUUGCACAAUGGGGGAAACCCUGAUGCAGCGACGCCGCGUGAGCGAAGAAGUAUUUCGGUAUGUAAAGCUCUAUCAGCAGGGAAGAAAUUGACGGUACCUGAGUAAGAAGCUCCGGCUAAAUACGUGCCAGCAGCCGCGGUAAUACGUAUGGAGCAAGCGUUAUCCGGAUUUACUGGGUGUAAAGGGAGCGUAGGCGGCCUGCCAAGUCUGAUGUGAAAUACCGGGGCUCAACCCCGGGGCUGCAUUGGAAACUGGCAGGCUGGAGUGUCGGAGAGGCAGGCGGAAUUCCUAGUGUAGCGGUGAAAUGCGUAGAUAUUAGGAGGAACAUCAGUGGCGAAGGCGACUAUCUGGCACAUAACUGACGCUGAGGAGCGAAAGCGUGGGUAGCAAACAGGAUUAGAUACCCCUGUAAG